rnacentral:rRNA from 1 species
CCUACGGGAGGCAGCAGUGGGGAAUCUUGCGCAAUGGGCGAAAGCCUGACGCAGCAACGCCGCGUGCGGGAUGAAGGCCUUCGGGUUGUAAACCGCUUUUAACAGGAACGAAAAUGACGGUACCUGUAGAAUAAGGUGCGGCCAACUACGUGCCAGCAGCCGCGGUGACACGUAGGCACCAAGCGUUGUCCGGAUUUAUUGGGCGUAAAGAGCUCGUAGGCGGUUCGAUAAGUCGGGUGUGAAAACUCUGGGCUUAACCCAGAGACGCCACUCGAUACUAUUGUGACUAGAGUUCGGUAGGGGAGCGGGGAAUUCCUAGUGUAGCGGUGAAAUGCGCAGAUAUUAGGAGGAACACCGGUGGCGAAGGCGCCGCUCUGGGCCGAAACUGACGCUGAGGAGCGAAAGCGUGGGUAGCAAACAGGAUUAGAUACCCUGGUAGUCCACGCCGUAAACGGUGGGCACUAGGUGUGGGCUCCAACCAACGGAGUCCGCGCCGUCGCUAACGCAUUAAGUGCCCCGCCUGGGGAGUACGGCCGCAAGGUUAAACUAAAUGAAUUGACGG